rnacentral:rRNA from 1 species
AUUGAACGCUGGCGGCAUGCCUUACACAUGCAAGUCGAACGGCAGCACGGGGCAACCUGGUGGCGAGUGGCGAACGGGUGAGUAAUGCAUCGGAACGUGCCAUUGAGUGGGGGAUAACGUAGCGAAAGUUGCGCUAAUACCGCAUAUUCUGUGAGCAGGAAAGCAGGGGACCGCAAGGCCUUGCGCUCUUUGAGCGGCCGAUGUCAGAUUAGCUAGUUGGUGAGGUAACGGCUUACCAAGGCGACGAUCUGUAGCGGGUCUGAGAGGAUGAUCCGCCACACUGGAACUGAGACACGGUCCAGACUCCUACGGGAGGCAGCAGUGGGGAAUUUUGGACAAUGGGCGCAAGCCUGAUCCAGCCAUGCCGCGUGAGUGAAGAAGGCCUUCGGGUUGUAAAGCUCUUUCGGCCGGGAAGAAAUUGCUUCGGUUAAUACCUGGAGUAGAUGACGGUACCCGCAUAAGAAGCACAGGGUAUU